GCUUCUUAGCAUAAAUAUAAGGACUCAUUGGAAUAAAACAGAGAAAAUUAGCAUGGCCCCUGCACAAGAAUGACAUGCAAAUUCGUGAAGAGUUCCAUGUUUAA